CCUACGGGUGGCAGCAGUGGGGAAUAUUGCACAAUGGGGGAAACCCUGAUGCAGCGACGUCGCGUGAGUGAAGAAGUAUUUCGGUAUGUAACGCUCUAUCAGCAGGGAAGAAAAUGACGGUACCUGAUUAAGAAGCCCCGGAUAACUAGGUGCAAGCAGCCGCGGUAAUACGUAGGGGGCCAGCGUUAUCCGGAUUUACUGGGUGUAAUGGGAGCGUAGACGGCGGCACAGGUCUGGAGUGAAAUGACGGGGCUUAACCCCGGAACUGCUUUGGAAACUGUGCAGCUAGAGUGCAGGAGAGGUAAGCGGAAUUCCUAGUGUAGCGGUGAAAUGCGUAGAUAUUAGGAGGAACACC
rnacentral:rRNA from 1 species